rnacentral:rRNA from 1 species
UACGUAGGGGGGCAAGCGUUGUCCGGAAUCAUUGGGCGUAAAGCGCGCGUAGGCGGCUCGAUCAGUCUGUUGUGAAAAGUCAAAGGCUCAACCUUUGAAUGCCGAUGGAUACUGUCGAGCUAGAGUCCGGAAGAGGCGGGUGGAAUUCCUGGUGUAGCGGUGGAAUGCGCAGAUAUCAGGAGGAACACCAACGGCGAAGGCAGCCCCGCUGGGACGGUACUGACGCUGAGACGCGAAAGCGUGGGGGAGCAAACAGG